CUCAUACAUGCAAGUCGAACGAGAAGCUAGAGCUUGCUCUAGUGGAAAGUGGCGGACGGGUGAGUAAUGUGUAGAAAAUCUGCCCUAGAGCGGGGGACAACAGAGGGAAACUUCUGCUAAUACCCCAUAUGAGCGUAGUUGAAAUACUAUUCUUGAAAACUCCGGUGCUCUAGGAUGAGUCUGCAUCUGAUUAGCUAGUUGGUGGUGUAAUGGACUACCAAGGCGACGAUCAGUAGCUGGUUUGAGAGGAUGAUCAGCCACAAUGGGACUGAGACACGGCCCAUACUCCUACGGGAGGCAGCAGUAGGGAAUUUUGCGCAAUGGGCGAAAGCCUGACGCAGCAACACCGCGUGAAUGUUAAGCCCUUCGGGGUAUAAAGUUCUGUCAGUGGGGAAGAAUAAAUGACUGUACCCACAAAGGAAGCACCGGCUAACUCCGUGCCAGCAGCCGCGGUAAUACGGGGGGUGCAAGCGUUGUCCGGAAUCAUUGGGCGUAAAGCGUUCGUAGGCUGUAUGUCAAGUCUGGUGUUAAAGCCCGGGGCUCAACUCCGGUUCGGCACUGGAUACUGGCAAACUAGAAUGUGGUAGGGGUAAAGGGAAUUCCUGGUGUAGCGGUGAAAUGCGUAGAUAUCAGGAGGAACAUCUGUGGCGAAAGCGCUUUACUGGGCCAUUAUUGACGCUGAGGAACGAAAGCCGGGGGAGCAAAUGGGAUUAGAUACCCCAGUAGUCCCGGCCGUAAACGAUGGAUACUAGGUGUAGGAGGUAUCGACCCCUUCUGUGCCGUAGCUAACGCGAUAAGUAUCCCGCCUGGGGAGUACGCACGCAAGUGUGAAACUUAAAGGAAUUGACGGGGACCCGCACAAGCGGUGGAACAUGUGGUUUAAUUCGAAGCAACGCGAAGAACCUUACCAGGGCUUGACAUCUGAGGAAUUUGACAGAAAUGUCGAAGUGCUCUUCGGAGAACCUCAAGACAGUGGUGCACGGUUGUCGUCAGCUCGUGUCGUGAGAUGUUGGGUUAGUCCCGCAACGAGCGCAACCCUCGUCGUUAGUUGGUCAUGCGGUAUACUUCUAUGUACUCUCUAGCGAGACUGCCGAUGAUAAUCGGAGAGGUGAGGACGACGUCAAUCAUCAUGCCCCUUAUGUCUUGGGCUACACGUGUUUACAUUGCGUACACGAGCAGCACGCAGCAGCAUCUCUUAACCGCUAGUUCGAUGGACUUGCAUCGAGUCAAUGACGUCGAUGCAUGUAAUGCGAUCAGACGCUUGCCUGUUACUACGGUUCCGGGAUUACC
rnacentral:rRNA from 1 species